rnacentral:rRNA from 1 species
CCUACGGGAGGCAGCAGUAGGGAAUUUUGCGCAAUGGGGGAAACCCUGACGCAGCAACGCCGCGUGAUCGAUGAAGCCCUUCGGGGUGUAAAGAUCUGUCAGUGGGGACGAAACCUGACGGUACCCACAGAGGAAGCACCUGCUAACUCCGUGCCAGCAGCCGCGGUAAUACGGGGGGUGCAAGCGUUUUCCGGAAUCAUUGGGCUUAAAGAGUUCGUAGGUGGCACGUUAAGUCUGGUGUUAAAGGCGGAGGCUCAACUUCCGUAGGGCACUGGAUACUGGCCGGCUUGAGUGCGGUAGAGGUAAAGGGAAUUCCUGGUGUAGCGGUGAAAUGCGUAGAUAUCAGGAAGAACACCGGUGGCGAAAGCGGUUUACUGGGCCGUAAUUGACACUGAGGAACGAAAGCCGGGGUAGCAAAUGGGAUUAGAUACCCGAGUAGUC